GUCCUGACCUGAAGGAUUUGAUCACCUGCCUUCAGGUGACUGAGCAUAAGGUACCAAUACCAGUGUUCUUAUGACAGUGCAGUAUGUAUUGACCAUCACAAGAAGCUGAGAUAAACGGCUGCACCUCCUAUUAUGGUUUGCUGAGAAAGCAGUAGAACAAAACUAGCCAGCUUGCCCGGGUAUUUGUGCUGAAACACUGCGGGAUUUUAGGUGCUCCCUGACUGUAUCUCUCAAGCUGACAGGAAUAUAAUAGAUGAAUAGUGGUACUAAACGUAGGCUGAACAACCCCUGGCACUGACCCUGAAAAGCAAAAAUAAAUUGUUUUUUAAAAUCAUCUUUAUAGACAUAUAAUUUAUAUAGAAUAAAAUUCAUAAGUUGGGAGGAUAGAUGAUUUCUGACAAAGAUGGACAGUUGUGUAAGCAUCACAAAAAUGAUAUAGAGUAUUUCUAUUACCCCCAAAAUUCCUCGCCACCUUGCCAGCAAAUACUUUUUUUCUACCUGUGGCACCUAGUAACUACUAAUCUUUCUAUCACUAUAGUUUUGCCUUUUCAAAAACGUUGUGUAAGUAGAAUUAUACAGUAAGUAGCAUUUUGAGGCUGACUUCUUUUACUUAGCAAAAUUGUUUUGAGAUUUAUCCAUGUUGUUGAGUGUAUAUUUUAUCCUCUAUAUUAUUAGUAUUCCAUUGUUAAGAUGUAGAAAAAUUUGUUGAUGCUUUCAACAGUUGAUGUUUGAAUUUCUUCCGGUUUGUGACUAUUAUAAGCUGCUAUGAACAUCUGUAUACAGGUCUUGCUGUGAUCAUUUUCUCUUAGUUAAAUAUCUGCAAGUGGAAAUGUUGGGUUGUGUAGUAAGGGUAACUUAAUAAGAAAGUGUUAAAAUGCAAAAUAGCUCUACUAUUUUAUGUUCCCAUCGGCUAUCUAUGAUAGUUCCAGGUGCUUCACAUUCUCACCAUCAUUUGGUAUUACCAGUCAUAUCUUCCUGAUAGUGUCUGUUCAAUUCUUUUACCCAUUUAUUUUAUACUGUUGUCUUACUUUCUCAACAAUUAGCUUUCUAUUCCACACACAAGUCCUUUAUUGGAUGUGUCUUUUGUAAAUAUUUUCUCCUAAGUCUGUGGCUCAUUUUUUCUUCCUUUAUUUUUUUGAGACGGAGUCUCACUGUUGCCCAGGCUGGAGUUCACUGCCAUGAUCUCGGCCCACUACAACUUCUGCCUCCCAAGUUCAAGUAGUUCUCCUGCCUCAGCCUCCCCAGUAGCUAGGAUUACAGGUGCGCACCACCGUGCCUGGCUAAUUUUGUAUUUUUGGUAGAGACAGGGUUCCACCAUGUUGGCCAGGCUGGUCUUGAACUCCUGACCUCAAGUGAUCCACUCGCCUCGGCCUCCCAAAGUGCUGGGAUUACAGGUGUGAGCCACCGUGCCCAGCCCAGUUUUUCAUUUUUUAAAUAUCUUUUAAAGAUAAGUUUUUGGAUGAAGUCCAAUUUGUUUUUCAUAGUGAGUGCUUUUUAUGUUCUAAGAAAUCUUUGCCUAACCAAGACAGAAGUUUUCUCUAAAGUGUUUUAUAGUUUUCACUGUAGCAUUUAGAUUUAUAUCAAUUUUAGUAUAUAAUGUGAGCUCAACUUUAGUAUAUAGUGUGGCCAUCACAAGAAGAUGUUGAGAUAAACCACUGCACCUCCUAUUAUGGUUUGCUGAGAAAGCAGUAGAACAAAACUAGCCAGAUUGCUCAGACAUUUGUGCUGAAUAUCUGCAGGAUGUGAGGUACUCCCUGACUGUACCUCUCAAGCUGACAGGAAUAUAAUAGAUGAAUAGUGGUACUAAAUGUAGGCUGAACAACCGCUGGCACUGACCCUGAAAAGCAAAAAUAAAUUGUUUUUAUAGUUUUUUAAUCGUUUUUUAAACUUUUAUAAAUUGUUUUUAUAGUACGUUAUACAUUAAGUAUAACAUAUAUAUGAAGCUAUAUAUGGCUGGGUGUGGUGGCUCGCCCCUGUCAUCCCAGCACUUCGGAAGGCUGAGGUAGAAGGAUCACUUGAGGUCAGAUGUUCGAGACCAGCCUGGUCAACAUGGUGAAACCCCAUCUCUACUUAAAAAAAUAAAAAUAAAAAGUUAGCCAAGUGUGGUGGUGCAUGCCUGUAAUCCCAGCUACACUAGAGGCUGAGGCAGGAGAAUCGCUUGAACCCAGAGGCAGAGGUUGCAGUGAGCUAAGAUCAUGCCACUGCACUCAGCCUGGACGACACAGCAAGACUCCAUCUAAAAAAUGAAUAAAUAAAGCUAUAUAUAUGUAUACAUAAAGCUCAAGUUAUUUUUUUUUCUUUUGCACAUGAAUGUCCACUUGAUCCAGCAACAGUUAUUGAAAAGACAUCUGUUACCCCCAAUAAAUUGCCUUGGUACAUUUAUUGAAAACCAAUUAGAGAGAAAUGUAUAGGUCUUUUUCUAGACUCAUUAAUAUAUUCCACUAAUCUGUGUCUAUCAUUUUUUGUUUCUGUCUUUAGACAGGUUCUCACUCUGUUACCCAGGCUGGAGUGCAGCAGUGCCAUCAUAGCUCAUUGCAGCCUCGAACUCUUGACCUCAAGCAAUCCUCCUACCUUGGUCUGCCAAAGAGCUGGAAUUAUAAGUGUGAGUGUCUGUGAUUGACCCCAUGUCUAUCCUUGUGGUAAUACCACAGUGUCGACUAAUGUAGUCUGAAAAUCAAGUAAUAUAAGACCUCCAUUCUUUGAAGUUAAAAUUGUUUUGACAGCCAGAUGGUGUGGUGCACACCUAUAAUCCUAGCUACUCAGGAGGCUCUACCCCAUCUCUACAGGGAGGCAGAAGGAUCACUUGAGCCCAAGAGUUCAAGGUUGCAGUGAACUAUGAUUGCACCGCUGCGUACCAACCUGGGUGACAGAGUGGGCGCCUGUUUCCAAAAACAAAAAGUAAAAAAUAUAAAAAUUUUAAUAAAUUUUAAAAAAUAUUUUGACUAUUCUUUUUGAUUUCUAUAUAAAUAUUGGAACCACCCUGUCAAUUUCUAUUUUUAAGAACCUGUUAGGAUAUUGAGAAUGCAUUGAAUCUAUCAUAAAUGUGGGUAGAAUAAUAUUUUUUUGUCUUCCAAUUCAGUAAUAUGCCAACUCUCCAUUAUUUCUGUCUUAACCACUAAGUAUGACAUUAGCCACAGGUUUUCUGUAGACAUCCUUUAUUGGGCUAAGGAAAUUCUCUCUUAUUUCUAGUUCAGGAAGAAUACUGGUCUGUAGUUUCAAGUUCUUGUAAUAGGUUUUUCUGGGUUUUUGUUAUCAGAGUAAUGCUGGAAUCAUAAAUUAAGUUGGGAAAUGUCCCAUCCUGUUCUAUUUGAUAAAAGAGUUUGUAUAAACUUGGUAUUCUCUCUUAAUGUUUGGUAGAGUUUGCCAUAGAACCCUUCCAGGCUAAGAAUUUUUCUGGGUAAGAAGGUAUUUAACAAUUUCUUUUAAGAGAUAAAAGGCUGUUUUCCAGUUCUGUAUAAUCUUGCGUGAGCUCUGGCACCUGUGUCUUUCAAAGAAUUAUCUAUUUCAUCUAAGUUGCCAAAUGUAUUGGUCUCAUCUACGUAUAUUUUCUUAUUAUUUUGAUACCUAUAAAAUUUGUGGUGAUAUCCCCUCAUUCAUUCCAGGUAUUAGUUGUUUAAGCCUUCCCUCAUUUUCUGGUGUAACUGGAUAGACAUUUUUCAAUUGCACUAAUCUUUAACUAAAUCAGCUUUGAUUCUAUUUAUUUUGCUUUCUCCAUCAUUAAUUUCUGCUAUUAUCUUUACAUUCCAUCUGCAUAAUUUGCUCAUUUUCUAAUUUCUGAGAGAAACUUAGAUAAUUAAAAAUUUUUAUUUCCUAAAAUGAACAUAGGCAUUGCUUUAGCUACAUCCCAUGAAUUUUUUUCUUUCCAUUCAUAUUUCCUAUUUGACUCAUGGAUUAUUUUAAACUGUUUUUUGGCCAGGCACAGUGGCGCAUGCCUGUAAUCCCAGCACUUUGGGAGGCCAAGGUGGGUGGAUCACCUGAGGUCAGGAAUUCGAGACCAGCCUGGCCAACAUGGCCCGUCUCUACUAAAAAUACAAAGAUUAGCCAGGUGUGGUGGCACACACCUAUAGUCCCAGCUACUCGGGAGGCUGAGGCAAGAGAAUUGCUUGAACUCAGGGGGCAGAGGUUGCAGUGAGCUGAGAUUGUGACACAGCACUCCAGCCUGGGUGACUCCAUCUCAAAAAAUAAUAAUAAAAUAUGAUUUUUAUGGCUUGGCACAGUGGUUCACACCUGUAAUCCCAGCACUUUGGGAGGUCAGAGCAGGCAGAACGCUUGAGCUCAGGAGGUUGAGACCAGCCUGGGAAACAUGGGGAGACCCCAUCUAUACAAUAAGUACAGAAAUUAGCCAGGCAUAGUGGCAUAUGCUUGUAGUCCCAGCUACUCAGGAGGGUGACCUGAGCCCAGCAGAUCAAGGCUGCAGUGACCCAUGACUGCAUCACUACACUCCGGCCUGGGCAACACAGGGAGACCGUCUUGGGGGGAAAAAAGUUGUUUAACAUCAGAAUGUCAGACAUUCAUCCAGAUAAUUUUGUUAUUAAUUUUCAUUAAUUUUGGUGUGAUCAGAUAAAAUACUUUAAAUAAUUUCGGCCUUCUUGAAUUUGAGACUUGUUUUAUGGCCCAGCAUAUUAGGUCUUUCUUCAUGAACAUUCCAUGUAAGCUUGAAAUGAAUGUGUGUUCUAUUGUUUGGCUAAACGAAUUAUGUCAAUUAGAUUAAGUUGUUAAAGUGUUCAGGUCUUCUAGACCCUAAUUUUCUUUCAAAUCAUCAAUUAUAAGACUUUUUGAAAUAUCCCACCCACUGUGACUAUAGAUUUGUCUAAUUCUCUUUUCCAUUCUAUCAGAUUUUAAUUUAUGUGUUUUGAAGCUCUUUUAUUAGGUAUGUAAGAGUUAAAAUUCUUAUUUCCUCAUGAUGAGUUAAUGAGAUUGCCAACAUGAAAUGUCCUCCAUUAUUCCUGGUAAUAUUUGUUGAUCUUGAAUUAUAUUUCAUGGAACUAAUAUAGCCCCCUCCAGCAUUCUUUGGAUUAAUGUUGGCAUAUAAUUAGGUAUUCCUUUUUUAUCCAAUCUGAUAAUAUCUACCUUUUGUGAUGUUUAGACCAUUUUCAGAAAUAUAAAUAAGGUUGGAUUAAAAUCUUACCUGCUUCAUAGUUGAUCUCAUGAACUUUGUUCUUUCCUUUUCUUACUAUUUUUGGAGUCAUUAAGUUCUGUCUUUUUAAAAUUAUUCCUGGCCGGGCGUGGUGGCUCACGCCUGUAAUCCCAGCACUUUGAGAGGCCGAGGGGGGCAGAUCACGAGGUCAGCCUGACCAACAUGGUGAAACCCCAUCUCUACUAAAAAUACAAAAAAAUUAGCCUGGCGUGGUGGCACACGCCUGUAAUCCC
rnacentral:lncRNA from 1 species